GGGGUUGGGGCUCAGUGGCAGAGCACUUGCCUAGCAUGUAUGAGGCACUGGGUUUGAUCCUCAGUGCCACA
rnacentral:tRNA from 1 species